rnacentral:lncRNA from 1 species
UCUUUUCAUGUAUAAUCUAUUUUUUGUAAGUUUAUAUGGAAUUUUAUUUUGUAAUUAUGUAUAAUUAACACUUACCAUAAUUGUGUGAAACAAACUGGUACGCAUUGCUCACGAAUCGCGAACAUUGAGUUGAGUGCAUGUGGUGCGCAAUUAUUCAAGACUGCUUACGGAGGGUACUUACGUGUUUGGAGAAACAUGGGGCAAUUCAUACGGUUCAUAAAGUACGCACCACCCGUCAUAAUUGCAUGCAACAAACUAGACGCUUUGCACAUGAAUCGUGCACGUUGAGUUGAGUGCGUGAGGUGCGCAAGUACACAAGACUAUGUAUGGAGGGCACUUAUGUGGCACAUCAUACGUACAUGUUGGGGGAACAUGGGGCAAAUCUUACAGCACAUAAGUGUACACCACCCGUCAUAAUUACGCGCAACAAACCAAUGCACUUUGCGCUUGAAUUGCGUGUGUUGAAAAUUGAAACACUACUGGACAACUGUGACUGUGUGAUGAAGUUUGGAUGGUGACGAGAGUAGACGGAAUCACUAUUCAUUUUCUCCAAUAGGCUUUUUGUAGUAUCUAUAUAUAUAUAUAUAUAAAAUAAACACUUGCAAAGUAUUUUUGGCUAAACAUAUCAUUGUGUUGGGAUCUUUAGAAAAGAAAAAAUAAUAUUAACUCAUUGGAUAUUUAAAAGUAAAAACUUAUAUUACUUUUUAGGAUCUUUUUUUUAAAAAUAUAAUACUUAUUCAUGGGAUAUUUUAAAAGAAAAACGGAAAACUACAUCGGGCAUGGGCACGUUUACUCCAUACAUCUACUUUAAAAUUUAUUUUCAAGUUGCUUUAUCCAUUAUUCCAUAUCAUAUGUAUGAAUUUAUCUAUCUAUUUUUCUAAUUUUAUUAAAGCAAGAUUACAAGUUCAUGGUUCUAAACGCUAUAUUUUUACACAAACUAAUUAUUACUCAUUAGGUCUAUAUAGUUGUAAGGGUCUAUAUAUUUGAUCUGAAACUAUUUUACAUUUCCUCUUUUUCUCACAAUAGAUUUGAGUUAGAGAGAUCCAUUUUAUUGAAAUAAGCUGCAUUUUAAAUUUCAUUUGACUAUAAAGUGACUGUAAUGGAUAACAAACACUCAGACAUGAGAUAGGUUCUCAAUACAUGUGUAUUUUCAAUAAAAAUAAUUAAAAACUGUAAUGCAAUAAAACUUCUUUUUCUAAAAAAAAAAAGCUAGUAGACUAUAAUUUAAGAAUUUUGGUUAUUUUUUGAAAUUUUUGUAACGUCAGAUCUUGUCGAUUUGCCCGAUCCUCCAAUCUGAAUUGUUGAUCCACCGAUCCGACCUAGUCUUCGGGAUGGGUGAUUCAAAUCACAAAUCAAUUUGUUUUCAAACCAUGAUUACAGGCAUUGCAGCAGGUGCAAAGACCGAAGUAUAAGUAUUCAAAUUUGGGAUAAAAUAUAAUUUUGUCAAAGUCAAUUCAUACAAACAAGCGUGAAUUAUGUACAGACAACAAAAAUUAUUAAAAUACGAAAUGAGUCCAAUUUUGGGGUAAAAUUACGUUCAAGGUUGAUCAACCUGAGUUUUUUUAUUUUUUUCAAAAUUUCUCCUCGGUAGAAAGAUAGCAUCCUCGGACAGCAAAUUUUUUGUUUUUUUUAGUUUUUCGAUAGUAGGGUUGUGCCCUAAUGUCUAUGGUAGUGCUCCGUCGGUCUCAUGAUAGCAUCAUGAGACCGCCUUUUUUGGUGCAUUUCAAAGUGUUCCAAGGUUGGCUUCCUCGGACCAGAAAGACUUACUUUUUUAAGCAUUCAAAGGUGGUCUGUGCUGCCCAUUCUCAGACCGCCUUUUCUACUGCUCUUCACGGUGGUUUGAGGUUGGCAUCCUCGGACCGACUUCUUUGGUUCUCUUUAAGAGGGCCCGAGGUUAUCAUCUUUGGACCACAUUAUCUCAUUUAUUUGUUAAGAAAUAAGCUGGUCUGAGGAUGCCAACCUUAAACUACCUUGUAGACUGGCACUGCCCCUCACACUAAAACACUGUCCUACUAACGAAACAGACAAAAAAUAAUAAUAAUUAAAAAGUGGUUUGAGGAUACUAUCAUUGGACCGAAAGGUAAUUUUUUAAAAAAUAAAAAAUAUGGGUUGACUGACUAAUUUUCAUCCAAAAUUGUCCCAUUUUGUAUUUUUCUAUUUUUUGUCCAUACAUAAAUUAGUUUACAAACAAUAUUGAUUGAAUUUAAAUUCAUUUAAUAUUCCAUGCUCUCUAUCCAUUUUAUGAUUCAUAUUUUAUUUGAUUUUUCAGAAUCCAUUUUUUUCCAAGCUUUAAGGAUUUUUAGACCUCUUGGGAAUGCAAGUGCAAACUCACGCGUGUUGAUUAGACUCGCCCAAGUUGAAAGAAAAGAAAAUGCUGAAAAAUGAAAAUAAUUUUUUUAAAAUUUGUAUACUAUUGAAAUCCAUUUCGGGCUAAAAAUAGAGAAGUUAUAUAUAUAUAUAUAUAUAUAUAUAUAAAUAAAUAAAUAAAUAAAUAAAAGAAAAGGAAAAACUUGGGUCGAUCCUUAUUUGUUUUAACUUUUUAUGGCAUUUGGAACAG